rnacentral:tRNA from 1 species
GAUCUUGUAGCUCAGCAAGGUAGCAGCGCCGUACUGAUAAUGCGGAGGUCCACGGUUCAAGUCCGUGCAAGAUCA